rnacentral:lncRNA from 1 species
AUUGGUUGAGCAGGUCAGUAUCCGUCCAUUAUUCCUUUCUGAGACCACGCAUUGGCUAGCUUCUUGUUAUAUCCAUUAUUUGUCAAUACCAUGAUGCAUGGAUCAAACUUUUAGUUAAUUACAAAUCUUGAGGUUAAAAGCCUUUAUGCUCCCAUGUCGAAGUCGUCUUGUGUGACUUUCGAUUUCGAAAAUGGUAAGGAGUUCAGUUUGCCAUGCAGCCAAUCAUGUCCUCGUUCCUAACAGUCAGUAGCUGGACCAUGUGAUUUCCUUUCGUCAAAAAUCAAAAAUCACUACCGUCACUUACAUCUUUCUAUCAAAAGGAACGAGGUGGAGAAUGAAUUUUCUUCCUUGGAUGCUGCCGUGACAGCAUGGGAGCAUAGGAAGAUGUAACUUCAAUUAAGAAAUGAUACUAUACCUGCAUAUUUGCAUGACAUCGAGAUAUAUAUCCACAUGGUGGUCUUCCAGUUCAAGUCAUACUACCAACUCAGUAUGUUUGUUCUCUUGGUGCCUUGUGUUGUUUCCAGUUGCAGUCUAAACUUUGUGCAAAUUGAACACUUCAGUGUGGAUGACUGUUUUCAGUCGGCUUCAGUUUGCACACUUCAGUAUAUGUUUUCAUCAGUGCUCUGUUAGGUGUCCGUUUCCUCAGUUACACUGUAGUUGGCUUCACUAUUCCUCUGUUUUACUUCUAAAUCAUAACCAUGAUGUAAGCAUACAUGUAUCGUUUAAUUUACUCCUCGGGAGUGUGUUUUGCUGUAUGCGUCUUUUAAACAUAUUGGUGCUGCGCACUUGACAUCUCGUGCUGAUAUCAUCCUAAAUUCAAUGCAGAUUAAGCGUGAAAUUUGUAUCAUGAAAUUAGUAAGGCACCCCAAUGUUGUUUGACUGUUUGAGGUAAGAUCCGAAAAACUAUACACACUUCAUGAUGUUAUUUUUAUUAAUUCAAUCUGCUGUUAUGCAAAAACAUGACAACCAG